rnacentral:misc_RNA from 1 species
GAAAUGCGAUAAGUAAUGUGAAUUGCAGAAUUCAGUGAAUCAUCGAAUCUUUGAACGCACAUUGCGCCCGCCAGUAUUCUGGCGGGCAUGCCUGUUCGAGCGUCAUUUCAACCCUCAGAACCCCUUGCGGGAUCUGGCGUUGGGGAUUGCCAUCCAGCCAGCCCCGAAAUCUAGUGGCGGUCCCUCCGCGACCUCCCCUGUGCAGUAGCGAUACCUCGCAGCGGGACAGCGGUCUGACCACGCCGUAAAACCCCCAACUUCUCAAGGUUGACCUCGAAUCAGGUAGGAAUACCCGCUGAACUUAAGC